CCAGCCACACCAGGCGCAGUCUCUGGGCCCAGUGGAAGCCAACAGAAAGCGGAUGGCGGAGGGGCAGAGAGAGAUACACGUGCGAUUUUAAAAAGAAAAGAAAAGAAAAACAACACUCAGCAAAACAAGAAUGUGUGUGAACUUCACGAAUGUCACCUGUCAAGUACGUCCAGAAGACAGUUCGCUAAGGUGUGGGCUGUGCUCUCUCAGGGAGCGAGGGAUUCAGCGCCGCGGGAGGUACUGACCCGCCCCGCACCUGCGGUUGUGCCUCGCGGACGGAGCACCCCGGACGGACAGCUGCCCUGGGCUCUGGGAGGAAGGAGGCAGCGCCAGCAGGGCUGAGAGCACCGCCGGAGGUGCGCGCCUGGAGGGUGGCUAUCCAGGCAACGUCGAUAGCCGGCGCAGCAGAGGAGGUGUUAU